UUUUUUUUUUUUUUUUUUAGUUACUGGGCACUUUAUUUUAUAGGUAACUUCUAUAAAGAUGGAAGCUGCUUCUGGCUCAUCAGCCAUCGUUGAUGAUAACCAGUCCUACAAUUCUCAUUAGGUGGUUCUGUUACCCCACUAUUUCCUUGGGGUCUGUUGUGCUAAGGAAAGGAUUGGUUGGGUAAAGAGGUGUGGCACAAAUAACCCUCAGGAAUACAGGCCACACAGCUAAUGAAGGGCCCCAAGGAAAGAAAGACCUGCCCAUCAGCGAUGAAUUCUCUCCCCUCAUGCCACAGACCUGAGGGCACGUGACCCAGGAAUGUGCAUCCAAAGAUAAUACUACCUUCAGAGAACUCUACUUAUAGGUGUUCGGAAGAGGGAUCCCUGUCAAGGAAAAUUUUCGAGGAAGAGUGAGUGUGUGAGCUGGGCAUGGAAAGAAGACCAUCUUAAUGACAGACUGAAUCAGGGAAGGCAAUCCAGGUGGAAGUGGUGAAAUUGAGUCACUGCAGCAGCUGAGGCAGAGAGCUUUUCCUUCAGGAUUCAUGGCCUAUUUCUCAGUUCUGGGAAAACAACUCUAACGAGUCAACAAAGUGAAGAGAGAUAAAAGUGUUGGGAAAGACUGAUUUCAAACAAUCAAAACUGCUUUGGGGAUGAGGAUGAAGUUGGGGACAUUACUGCCUUGUAUACCACAUACUAUAAUAUUUAUUAUGUCUAUUGUUUAUUGUGUGUGUCCUUCUUUAGAAUUUUAACUCCCCAAGGGCAAAGAUCCCUGAGUUUUUUGUUUAUCAAUGUAUCCAAAAGGCCUAAAACAGUCUUGUACCUUAUACACACUCUGCAAAUAUUUGCUGAAUUGAAUAAAUGGCUGCUGAUCUAUAAACUAUGCUGCUUUCAAAUAAAACUAAGACAAGGACAUUGAUAGCGUAUCCUCA